UGACAUUAGGAGGCGACUAGAGAUUAAUCCACCAAGAGAGCCCUAUCAAUACGGAGGAACUCUGACUAUGGGGACCCAUGACUAAGCAAUGGAGGGUUUAUGCUGUGUUUUAGACACACAAUCUAUAAAACAAUGGAAGCUUUCUGAUCGUAUGCACUUAGGGUCAGUUACGGAGCCGUAAAACUUACAGAUCUUGGAAUAUAGAGCUAUUUACAGUAUGACACGAAAGUCAGAGCCAAAUUACCGCUCAGCCCACCCACACAGAUUGAUGGAAAAACCUGCUCUACUUGUGAAAAUGCACGUCAGUGAUGCCAUGGACAUCAUGUGCAAAGUACCGGAAAACAUUUGAAAUUCUCAGUUUGCUCAUACUGUUGGAGAAAUGUGAUCAUUUUCACUGAGAGUACCCCUUUAAGAACAGUGACCAGCAGCAUCUGCGAAACAGUCCUGCAACAAACCUACGGACUACUGUGUUGUGGCAGCCAGCUUGGAAAAGCCCAGCUGUAGACAGUCUCUCUCUCUUGCUGCUCGCUUUCAGUAUAGUUUCUUAUUUAAUAAAGUGGGAUCUGUCUGCGGCAGUCACACAAUAGAGCGUAUGCAUUACAGCAGGUGUUGCCUCCACAUUCUCAGUAAUGGUAGAAGUCUCGUUUGUUCCUUCCCGUCUCUUCGCCACGUUCCUCCAUGCUGGGAGUAAGACAGGCAGAAUUUAUCGUCACCAUUUUUUCCCAGUGUAAGCAGCAUUAAUACGCAUUGUGGAAAUGUAAUAACUUCAAUAAUUGCA